UACGGAGGGAGCUAGCGUUGUUCGGAAUUACUGGGCGUAAAGCGCGCGUAGGCGGCGACUCAAGUCAGAGGUGAAAGCCCGGGGCUCAACCCCGGAACUGCCUUUGAAACUAGGUUGCUAGAAUCUUGGAGAGGUCAGUGGAAUUCCGAGUGUAGAGGUGAAAUUCGUAGAUAUUCGGAAGAACACCAGUGGCGAAGGCGACUGACUGGACAAGUAUUGACGCUGAGGUGCGAAAGCGUGGGGAGCAAACAGG
rnacentral:rRNA from 1 species